CCUACGGGUGGCUGCAGUGGGGAAUUUUGGACAAUGGGCGAAAGCCUGAUCCAGCAAUGCCGCGUGUGUGAAGAAGGCCUUCGGGUUGUAAAGCACUUUUGUCCGGAAAGAAAUCCGCCUGGCCAAUACCCGGGCGGGAUGACGGUACCGGAAGAAUAAGCACCGGCUAACUACGUGCCAGCAGCCGCGGUAAUACGUAGGGUGCGAGCGUUAAUCGGAAUGACUGGGCGUGAAGCUGUAGGAGGCGGCUGAAAUCCCCGGGCUCAACCUGGGAACUGCAUUUGUGACUGCAGGGCUGGAGUGCGUCAGAGGGAGGUGGAAUUCCGCGUGUAGCAGUGAAAUGCGUAGAGAUGCGGAGGAACACCGAUGGCGAAGGCAGCCUCCUGGGACGACACUGACGCUCAUGCACGAAAGCGUGGGGAGCAAACAGGAUUAGAUACCCCUGUAGUC
rnacentral:rRNA from 1 species